GUGAAUCAUCGAAUCUUUGAACGCACAUUGCGCCCCUUGGUAUUCCGAGGGGCAUGCCUGUUCGAGCGUCAUUAUGACCACUCAAGCCUAGCUUGGUAUUGGGGUGCGCGUGCUCGCGGCCCUUAAAAUCAGUGGCGGUGCCGUCUGGCUCUAAGCGUAGUAACUUCUCUCGCUACAGAGUUCCGGCGGUUGCUUGCCAAAACCUCAACUUCUUAGGUUGACCUCGGAUCAGGUAGGGAUACCCGCUGAACUUAAGCAUAUCAAUAAGCGGAGGA
rnacentral:misc_RNA from 1 species